AUUGAACGCUGGCGGCAGGCUUAACACAUGCAAGUCGAGCGAGCGGCGGACGGGUGAGUAAUGUCUGGGAAACUGCAUGAUGGAGGGGGAUAACUACUGGAAACGGUAGCUAAUACCGCAUACCAUCAGAUGUGCCCAGAUGGGAUUAGCUGUUAGGUGGGGUAACGGCGCACCUAGGCGACGAUCCCUAGCUGGUUUGAGAGGAUGACCAGCAAAACGGGAACGGAGACACGGUCCAGACUCCUACGGGAGGCAGCAGUGGGGAAUAUUGCAAAAUGGGCGCAAGCCUGAUGCAGCCAUGCCGCGUGUGUGAAGAAGGCCUUCGGGUUGUAAAGCACUGUCAGCGGGGAGGCGUUACCCGCAGAAGAAGCACCGGCUAACUCCGUGCCAGCAGCCGCGGUAAUAC
rnacentral:rRNA from 1 species